rnacentral:rRNA from 1 species
UGGGGAAUAUUGGACAAUGGGGGGAACCCUGAUCCAGCCAUGCCGCGUGUGUGAAGAAGGCCUUAUGGUUGUAAAGCACUUUAAGCGAGGAGGAGGCUCUCUUGGUUAAUACCCAAGAAGAGUGGACGUUACUCGCAGAAUAAGCACCGGCUAACUCUGUGCCAGCAGCCGCGGUAAUACAGAGGGUGCGAGCGUUAAUCGGAUUUACUGGGCGCAAAGCGUGCGUAGGCGGCUUUUUAAGUCGGAUGUGAAAUCCCCGAGCUUAACUUGGGAAUUGCAUUCGAUACUGGGAAGCUAGAGUAUGGGAGAGGAUGGUAGAAUUCCAGGUGUAGCGGUGAAAUGCGUAGAGAUCUGGAGGAAUACCGAUGGCGAAGGCAGCCAUCUGGCCUAAUACUGACGCUGAGGUACGAAAGCAUGGGGAGCAAACAGG